UACGAAGGGGGGCUAGCGUUGUUCGGAAUUACUGGGCGUAAAGCGCACGUAGGCGGACUUUUAAGUCAGGGGUGAAAUCCCGGGGCUCAACCUCGGAACUGCCUUUGAUACUGGAAGUCUUGAGUAUGGAAGAGGUAAGUGGAAUUGCGAGUGUAGAGGUGAAAUUCGUAGAUAUUCGCAGGAACACCAGUGGCGAAGGCGGCUUACUGGUCCAUUACUGACGCUGAGGUGCGAAAGCGUGGGGAGCAAACAGG
rnacentral:rRNA from 1 species